rnacentral:rRNA from 1 species
UACAGAGGGGGCAAGCGUUGUUCGGAAUUGCUGGGCGUAGAGGGCGCGUAGGCGGCCUGCUAAGUCGAACGUGAAAUCCCUGGGCUCAACCCAGGAACUGCGUCCGAUACUGGUUGGCUUGAAUCCGGGAGAGGGAUGUGGAAUUCCAGGUGUAGCGGUGAAAUGCGUAGAUAUCUGGAGGAACACCGGUGGCGAAGGCGACAUCCUGGACCGGUAUUGACGCUGAGGCGCGAAAGCCAGGGGAGCAAACGGG